CUACGGGAGGCUGCAGUGAGGAAUAUUGCACAAUGGGGGGAACCCUGAUGCAGCAACGCCGCGUGGAGGAUGACGCAUUUCGGUGUGUAAACUCCUUUUAUAUGUCAAGAAAAUGACGGUAGCAUAUGAAUAAGCACCGGCUAACUCCGUGCCAGCAGCCGCGGUAAUACGGAGGGUGCAAGCGUUACUCGGAAUCACUGGGCGUAAAGGACGCGUAGGCGGGUUGGAAAGUCAGGUGUGAAAUCCUACAGCUUAACUGUAGAACUGCACUUGAAACUGCUAACCUAGAGUAUGGGAGGGGGAGAUGGAAUUAGCGGUGUAGGGGUAAAAUCCGUAGAUAUCACUAGGAAUACCUAAAGCGAAGGCGAUCUCCUGGAACAUUACUGACGCUAAGGCGUGAAAGCGUGGGGAGCAAACAGGAUUAGAUACCCCAGUAGUC
rnacentral:rRNA from 1 species